rnacentral:rRNA from 1 species
AACGAACGCUGGCGGCAGGCUUAACACAUGCAAGUCGAACGCCCCGCAAGGGGAGUGGCGGACGGGUGAGUAACGCGUGGGAACGUGCCCUAAGGUAGGGAAUAACUGAGGGAAACUUCAGCUAAUACCCUAUGUGCCCCGCAAGGGGGAAAGAUUUAUCGCCUUAGGAGCGGCCCGCGUCGGAUUAGCUAGUUGGUGGGGUAACGGCCUACCAAGGCUUCGAUCCGUAGCUGGUCUGAGAGGACGAUCAGCCACACUGGGACUGAGACACGGCCCAGACUCCUACGGGAGGCAGCAGUGGGGAAUCUUGCGCAAUGGGGGCAACCCUGACGCAGCCAUGCCGCGUGAAUGAUGAAGGCCUUAGGGUUGUAAAGUUCUUUUACCCGUGACGAUGAUGACGGUAACGGGGGAAUAAGCUCCGGCUAACUUCGUGCCAGCCGCCGCCGUAAAAC